rnacentral:rRNA from 1 species
CAGCAGUCGCCGCGGGAAUACGUAGGUGGCAAGCGUUGUCCGGAAUUAUUGGGCGUAAAGGGCUCGCAGGCGGUUUCUUAAGUCUGAUGUGAAAGCCCCCGGCUCAACCGGGGAGGGUCAUUGGAAACUGGGAAACUUGAGUGCAGAAGAGGAGAGUGGAAUUCCACGUGUAGCGGUGAAAUGCGUAGAUACAUGGAGGAACACCGGUGGCGAAAGCGGCUCUCUGGUCUGUCACUGACGCUGAGGCUCGAAAGCGUGGGUAGCGAACAGAAUUAGAUACCCCUGUAGUCCCUGUCUCUUAUAA